CCCGGCCUGUCAGAUAGCUUAUCAGACUGGUGUUGGCUGUUAAGAUUGCAAGGCGACAACAGUCUGUAGGCUGUCUGACAUUUUGGG
ensembl:miRNA microRNA 21